rnacentral:rRNA from 1 species
GACGUAGGCGCGAGCGUUGUCCGGAUUUAUUAGGCGUAAAGAGCUCGUAGGCGGCUUGUCGCGUCGAAUGUGAAAUUCAGGCUCAACUCUGACAUUGCAUUCGAUACGGCAGGCUAGAGUUCGGUAGGGAGACUGGAAUUCCUGGUGUAGCGGUGAAAUGCGCAGAUAUCAGGAGAACACCGGUGGCGAAGCGGGUCUCUGGUACGUGACUGACGCUGAGACGCGAAAGCGUGGGGAGCGAACAGG